rnacentral:rRNA from 1 species
GGCGGCGUGCCUAAUACAUGCAAGUCGAGCGCGAAAGUCUUCGGAUGAGUAGAGCGGCGCACGGGUGAGUAACACGUGGGUAAUCUGCCCAGAGAUGGGGAAUAACUCCUCGAAAGAGGAGCUAAUACCGCAUAAGACCACAGCAUCUACGGAUGCAGGGGUUAAAGGUGACCUCUAUUUAUAAGUUAUCGUCUCUGGAUGAGCCUGCGCAUUAUUAGCUAGUUGGUGAGGUAAAAGCUCACCAAGGCUACGAUAAUUAGCUGGUCUGAGAGGAUGAUCAGCCACACUGGAACUGAGACACGGUCCAGACUCCUACGGGAGGCAGCAGUAGGGAAUAUUGCUCAAUGGGGGAAACCCUGAAGCAGCAACGCCGCGUGAGUGAUGAAGGUUUUCGGAUUGUAAAGCUCUGUUGUACGGGGAAAAUGUCGUUUUGGCUAAUAUCCAAGACGAGUGAUUGUNCCGUAUAAGAAAGGACCGG